rnacentral:rRNA from 1 species
ACGAAUGCUGGCGGCGUGCUUAACACAUGCAAGUCGAACGGAAAGGCCCUGCUUUUGUGGGGUGCUCGAGUGGCGAACGGGUGAGUAACACGUGAGUAACCUGCCCUUGACUUUGGGAUAACUUCAGGAAACUGGGGCUAAUACCGGAUAGGAGCUCCUGCUGCAUGGUGGGGGUUGGAAAGUUUCGGCGGUUGGGGAUGGACUCGCGGCUUAUCAGCUUGUUGGUGGGGUAGUGGCUUACCAAGGCUUUGACGGGUAGCCGGCCUGAGAGGGUGACCGGCCACAUUGGGACUGAGAUACGGCCCAGACUCCUACGGGAGGCAGCAGUGGGGAAUAUUGCACAAUGGGCGGAAGCCUGAUGCAGCAACGCCGCGUGCGGGAUGACGGCCUUCGGGUUGUAAACCGCUUUCGCCUGUGACGAAGCGUGAGUGACGGUAAUGGGUAAAGAAGCACCGGCUAACUACGUG